GAGAGAUGGUCGAGCUGGCUUAAGGCACCGGUCUUGAAAACCGGCGUACGUUUACGCGUACCGUGGGUUCAAAUCCCACUCUCUCC
rnacentral:tRNA from 1 species